UUCAUUUUUCCGCAAAAUAAACUCAGUAAACACAACUCCCUCUCUCUUUCUCUCUUUUCCGGCGACACACAAACCGGCGGAGCCGGCCGAUGCACGGCGGAGACGCCGCGAUGCUCCGGCAACCUGUUUUUGGCGCGUGACGGCGCGUACCCCCCCUAAAAAGCACCUACCGAGUAUGAUUCCAGUACUAGUUCCUCAAUCGGAGCAGUGGAGGUGACGGUUCUGGUCACUGGCAGCCGCGGUUCGAGGACUUCACUCCGGGAUGGUGGCUGUUGGGUGGUCGACGGCGACGGUGGUGGUGACUGACGGUGGCGGAAGCCGCCGGAGCUAUGAAGAGGGCGAUGACAAAUUGUGGUGGUUGUUCACAGCUCGGGUUCGGGUAUAGGGCUCCAGAUUCGUGUUCGGAUUCAAGAUUUUUCUUUUGGUUCAGACUUCGUCUCAGCUUGGGUUUCAAUUUCAGCUGGUGCGGGUCAGGAAACCAACCGAGACAAACCUCAGUUUCGGUCAACUCACGGUUCGGUUUUGGUCUCGGUUCAGGCUACGAGUUGGGUAUGGUUCAGCAGGUCCGGGUUCAAGCUCCGUCAAGACAAGAUAAACUGGUCAAUGGUUCGGUUCGGUCAAGAUAAGUCAGCGGCGGUUCGGUUCGUGGUUCGGGUCGACUCGGUCAAACCUGGUCAACCCAGUGAGUUGACCCGACCCAGUCAACUCAGUUGACCCGGUCAACUCAGCUAACUUUUUUCGGCGUUUCGAACACGAAUAUUCGGAUGCACGCUAGCGAAUCACGUUUGGAAACGACAUAUUGGAAAGCACAUAUAGCUAGCUUUGCACAGGAAUAUCCAGGUUACUUUUUCAAAUCAUGGCGCGGUUGGAAUAGGAGAACCAUGUGGAGUCGAGUACUUAUUGGCGUUCAUUUUCUAGAAGUCUUAGCUUAUUUGCUUCUGCUGUGCAAUGAAGAUACCAGUCCACUCAUGCCAGCUUUGAUAUUUCGGGGUGUGACAAUGCGCAACAUCCGUUUUGCUUCAGCCUUUCCGCGUACACCUCCUACACAUGGGGGAGAGCCCUCAGAUCACCCACAUAUACCUCCACCCGAGUCGAGUCCAUGUCUUUAGUCACCUCGAUUAUUCCCUCCAUAUACUAUGUCGUUGUCUGAUCCGUAUCAUCCUUCUAAUCACUCUGGUUACACCAGAGAUGGUCUCCUGCUAUCACUCCAGCUUCAGGUAGAGAUCCUAUGCCAUAGAGUCUAUGAACUGGAGAACGAGGCCGACGCUAGACGACCUCCUCCACCCGACUUUCCGCCACCAGUCACACCCCCACCACCAUCUUCACCCCCACCAGCAUCUCCACCACUACCUGUUCAUGCACCUGUUGAUGGUCGUGCUGCUCAAUUCCUUACACUAGAGCAGCAGGUUAGUUUUCCGAUCCGUCGAGUCCACGAGCUCGAGAAUGAGGUAGCUCAUCUUCGUAGUUUGGUUUUUCCUACGCACCUACCCUCUCCACCAGCCUGUUAGGCUUUUCAUUGCAGGUACUUAUGUUGGAGUGUAUUUUUGGGUCUGAAGACCACAACCGAGUUUUGGGUACAACUUGAAGACAAGGACCGCCAAUGUGAAGAAAGAUAUUUUGCCUUUUAUAUGUAUUAAAACUUGUACUAUUGGGUGAUGUAACCCUUAUGCAUUUUUGUUUUUUUCAUAAACAAUUAUGUAACAUGUGACAACCCGUAACUUCAGGUUAAUGCUUUAACUUAACAUAAUUAAGUUGGUCGCA